AAAAAAACCUUUGCAGAAAACUAUACUGGUAUUACCGGCGGCGGCUGUCAAAGCUCUUCCUUAAAACUUUACUUGUAUUGCCGGCGGCGUCACAACCGGUCGAAAAUCUUCAAGAAAACAAAAAUGGAGGAACUUGCUGACAAAAUAGAGAUACCCCAGAAAGCUGAAGAUAAGAAAGAUGAAGAAUUGGAGGAAUUGGAAGAUGAAGAUGAAGAGGGAGAGUUAUCAUGGUCUUCCGACUCUGAAAUUGGUGAAGCUUUGGAUUAUUUGGACACAAAAGAUAAUUCUGAAUCGAAUGUUGGUGCUUUUAGUCUCCAAACAAGGCGUCCAAAUGCUCAUGGAGGACUUCAUACUCGACCCAAUUCUUCAGCUUUACAACCCCUUUCAAAUCGUACCCAGAAAUUUGCUAAUCAUAUCAGAGCUUCACCAUUAGAGGAAUGGGAAGGGAGGAUCAAAGUUGGCAUGUCAAAUUCUGUGACUACUGCUAUCCGUGG
rnacentral:misc_RNA from 1 species